AACAAAAGUAGGACGAUUUGCCGCUAAAUUUUAGCUGUUUAAGAAUGCUUGUAGGUGACAUUCACAAAGGUAGGAUGGUUUGGCAGUGAAUGCUAUCGGCCAGCAUUUUUUUUAGCUAAUAUUCACAAAGGUAGGACGGUUUGCCACUGAAUUUCGUGUUGUGCGCAUGCGCAGACACAACGGUAGGAUGGAUUCCCAGAACACCGGGAGAAAAAGAGUCACGUGCCUGUGCGGAUGUGUAUGUGUUGUGGGUUAAUUAACAGAAGGGAGAGAGAGUGAGGAUAAAACACAUAAUAUAAGAAUAAUAACAUCUCUUAACAAGAAGAAGUUUUUUUUUAAAUUAAUUAAUUUUAGUUUUUUAGUAAAUUUUUAAGAACUGUUUAACACUUGUUUGUGCAGGUUGUUUUUUAAAUAAAACCUACACCUGCAGCUCUGUUUAACUUCUCACUUUGUGAAAAAUUAAUGAAAUAUAAAAAAAGGCCACCUUCAAAUAAAUAAAAUGCAGCAGUGCGCCAUUAAUAUUAUUAAUAUGAUAUGUAGAUAUUUAAAACAACAGCAUAUUAAAUGAUACUGUGUGCAGGUGAUAUUUUUAGGGCGCAGAAUUUGAAUGCAGACCAACUCAAAUGUUAAAGCCUACAAAUAUAUCACCCAAUCUUUCAUUUAUGAUUGUUCAUGCUUUGAAAUUGUGAUGUCAGAAUUUGAUAAAGUGUGCAGUGCUAGGUGUAGCAAAUCAUUGCUUAUGAAAUUAGAGCUAUCACAUAGCUGAGAAACUUGUGUGGCUUAUUACAAAUGGAUGAAACCACAUUUUACCUUAAUGAAGACAGUAAUCUUUAAUAAGGUGUAGAAAAAAGAGAGUGAAAGAGAUCUUUGGUUUUGCCUUUGCUGACUGCUGAUCUGAUCGUCUCAAGUCUGGUGACCUGCUGCAGAAGAUCCUCUCUCUCUAUCAUUAUAAGCAAUUCUGUCUAUCCUAUCACUCUCCCGACUCUAUCUAAUUUGACAGCCAUUCUAUCUUGUAUCCCUCUAUCCCUACUGCUCUAUCUAAUUUGACAGCCAUUCUAUCUUGUAUCCCUCUAUCCCUACUGCUCUAUCUAAUUUGACAGCCAUUCUAUCUUGUAUCCCUCUAUCUCUACUGCUCUAUCUAAUUUGACAGCCAUUCUAUCUUGUAUCCCUCUAUCCCUACUGCUCUAUCUAAUUUGACAGCCAUUCUAUCUUGUAUCCCUCUAUCCCAAGCGCUCUAUCUAAUUUCAGAAUCCAAGUUUUCAGAAAUCCAAGUUUUCAGAUUCCAAGUUUUCAGAAAUCCAAGUACCAGUACUUGAUCUAUCUGUUACAGAAUUCUGAGAGAUCUCUGCUCUCACUGCUCCUUCUUUCCUGUCAUUAAACUCUCUCACAUUCAGUCAUUUUGCUGAAAAUUACAAUUAGAAAGUUGAAUAUACAGUAGUAGAAUAUCAGUACAGUAGAACUUAUAGUAGUAACUACUUAUACAGCCCUACAUUUGUAGUUUUAACUUGGCAUUACUCUUUGGAAUAAACACUGAUAGUUUGGCUUACUGGUGCAAUUACUUUGAUACAUUAUAUAAAAUAUACACCUUUUGAAAGGUUUAUUUGUAAUAAGAUAAUCUGACUAUUCUGUAAUAUAUUCAGAGUGCUAUAUUCACAUAAAUAUUAAAUUUGAUUCAAAUACAUUUUUCAAGUCUGUUUCAUUGGCUAUAAUAUUUGACUACAAGUUUAUACUAUUAUUAUUUAAGGACAAACCCUUUUUUGUCACUCAGUGUAAGUGUUCAGUUAGAAUUGUCAUCUAGAGGCUGCCCUGAGAACCCAGACUUCCUGUUUCCUGACUGCUGCAGAACAUCCAGCUGAAGACUCCCCAUCGCCUGUCAUCUGAUCACCACACCAUCACAGCUCCUUAUAUUUGCUUUAAAUUUUAAAUAUCUGAAAGAUUUACACAAAGUCUACUUAAAAGCUAAGAUUUUUAUCAUAGCCUGUUGAUUGAUUGUUGAGAUUUAUUCUGCAUAUUACUUUACAGAAGUAUAGACCUAUUUGUUAUCCAGUCUGGUUAAAAAAAAAUAUAAGAAGUAAUAAUAUACAGUUUUUGAAAAAGUUACAAUAAAACAGACCAAAGUGUUUUCAAAGAACUUUAAAUAACUUUUAUAUUGAGUUUGUAUUUAAGUCAGCCUUUUACAUCAAUUCUGAUAAAUCUCUGAUUUAAUAGUUAUUAAAGUCAUUAGUUUUUCAGUGUUUACAGGUUGACUUUUGUUUACAUUUGUGUAUAAAUACAUAUAAGGUCCAGUUUGUACUUCAA
ensembl:lncRNA